CCCGCUGAACUUAAGCAUAUUAUUAAGCGGAGGAAAAGAAACUAACAAGGAUGCCCUCAGUAACGGCGAGUGAAGCGGGCAAAGCUCAACCUGUAAAUCUGGUUUCCUUAGCGGGAAUCCGAAUUGUGGGCUAGAGACGCAAGAUCAGUGUGUGACCUAGGUAUAAAUCUUUUGAAACAAGGUAUCAUAGAGGGUGAGAAUCCCGUCUGUGACCUGGAGUUCGCCGCGUACGAUCUGCGUUCGUAGAGUCGAGUUGUUUGGGAUUGCAGCUCUAAAUGGGUGGUAAAUUUCAUCUAAAGCUAAAUAUCGACGAGAGACCGAUAGCGAACAAGUACCGUGAGGGAAAGAUGAAAAGAACUUUGAAAAGAGAGUUAAAAAGUACUUGAAAUUGCUAAGAGGGAAGCACUGGAAACCAGUCGUGACCUGCGUGUAUAUUUACCAUUCGCUCCUGGACCGGUCUUUCUCCCAAGAGCCUCAAGCCUUGGUGAUUGGCUGCGAAAAUGUGGGUGGGUCCUGUACUGUAGGUUGAGUCAGAAUCAAUUCGAUCCGUGAGAGAAAGCUAUGGCAACGGUAGGUCCGCGGGGGCAACUUCAAGGACUGCUUAGUGCUGUAGUGCUAUCAUGGGUUGGAUUGAGGUACCAUCGAAAUGCGCGCCACUAGGUUAGCGGUUCCCUGACCCUGGAUUCACAGGGGGCUUGGACAACAAAGUUGUGCGGUCCCUGAAGGUUUCUACUGGAAAGGAUGAAUCAGCAGCAGCAUUCGAGAUUCUGACGAAAUGGUUUUCAUUGACCCGUCUUGAAACACGG
rnacentral:rRNA from 1 species